GCUGGGGAUGCCCCCGGGGGGGGUCCCCACUUUUGGGGGAGGAUUCUCCCCAAACUGCUGCUCCCUCGCCUGGGGAAGGGUUUGGCUGCUCCCAGAGUUUUGUUGGCUGCCAGUUCGGAUUUAAUUACGUGUCCUGAUCGCCGGGGCCUGGGAGGGCUGGGAUGCUUUGCCUGGAGCUCGGCCACCAGCAGGACAACUUGGAGAGGUUUUUGUUUCUUUGGAGGGGGAGCAAACCCUCACCCCCAGUGCCCUGCUGUUCCCUUUCCUUGGCCAAGCUGAGGAUGUCAAGCACAUUUCUUGCCACGGGAGGAACCACAUUCCUCCUCUUAU